AGAUUGAACGCUGGCGGCAUGCCUAACACAUGCAAGUCGAACGGGAGUAGCAAUACUCUAGUGGCGGACGGGUGAGGAAUACGUAGGAAUUUGCCCUUAAGUGGGGGAUAACCCGGGGAAACCCGGAUUAAUACCGCAUGACCUCGAAAGAGCAAAGUGGGGGAUCGACAAGACCUCACGCUUUUGGAGAAGCCUACGUCGGAUUAGCUAGUUGGUGAGGUAAUGGCU
rnacentral:rRNA from 1 species